GGUUAGGAUCAGUUUGGCAAAUAUAAAGUUUAAAUUAUUAUUUGCGACUGUAUCCAAAACCCA
rnacentral:pre_miRNA from 1 species